rnacentral:rRNA from 1 species
GAUGAACGCUAGCUACAGGCUUAACACAUGCAAGUCGAGGGGCAUCAGUUUGGUUUGCUUGCAAACCAAAGCUGGCGACCGGCGCACGGGUGAGUAACACGUAUCCAACCCGCCUCAUACUCGGGGAUAGCCUUUCGAAAGAAAGAUUAAUAUCCGAUAGCAUAUAUUUCCCGCAUGGGUUUUAUAUUAAAGAAAUUCGGUAUGAGAUGGGGAUGCGUUCCAUUAGUUUGUUGGGGGGGUAACGGCCCACCAAGACUACGAUGGAUAGGGGUUCUGAGAGGAAGGUCCCCCACAUUGGAACUGAGACACGGUCCAAACUCCUACGGGAGGCAGCAGUGAGGAAUAUUGGUCAAUGGACGCGAGUCUGAACCAGCCAAGUAGCGUGAAGGAUGACUGCCCUAUGGGUUGUAAACUCCUUUUAUAUGGGAAUAAAGUUGUCCACGUGUGGAUUUUUGUAUGUACCAUAUGAAUAAGGAUCGGCUAACUCCGUGCCAGCAGCCGCGGUAAUACGGAGGAUCCGAGCGUUAUCCGGAUUUAUUGGGUUUAAAGGGAGCGUAGGCGGAUUGUUAAGUCAGUUGUGAAAGUUUGCGGCUCAACCGUAAAAUUGCAGUUGAUACUGGCAGUCUUGAGUGCAGUAGAGGUGGGCGGAAUUCGUGGUGUAGCGGUGAAAUGCUUAGAUAUCACGAAGAACUCCGAUUGCGAAGGCAGCUCACUGGAGUGUAACUGACGCUGAUGCUCGAAAGUGUGGGUAUCAAACAGG